rnacentral:rRNA from 1 species
GUUAGGAAUAUUGGACAAUGGGCGAAAGCCUGAUCCAGCCAUGCCGCGUGAACGAUGAAGGCCUUCGGGUUGUAAAGUUCUUUAGCCGAUGAUUAUAAUGACUGUAGUCGGAAAAUAAGCCCCGGCUAACUUCGUGCCAGCAGCCGCGGUAAUACGAAGGGGGCGAGCGUUAUUCGGAAUCACUGGGCGUAAAGCGUGCGUAGGCGGUUUUGUAAGUUAGGAGUGAAAGCCCAGGGCUCAACCUUGGAAUUGCUCUUAAAACUGCAAGGCUCGAAUCACGGAGAGGAGAGCGGAAUGUCCAGUGUAGCAGUGAAAAGCGUAGAUAUUGGAAGGAACACCAGUGGCGUAAGCGGCUAUCUGGACGAGUAUUGACGCUGAGGCACGAAAGCGUGGGGAUCAAACAGGAUUAGAAACCCUUGUAGUCC